CAGCGAGGGCGUCAUUCCUGAGGAGGAAGAAGCAGUUUCUCCUGCACUGAGCGGUGAGUCCAAGAUGAGUGACCGCUCCAAGGAUUAACCUACAGCUUUCCAACGAGAUCCAGGGAUAAAUGCAGGACCCUGGACAGACUUGGACAGACCUGGACUCCAUUGUCUCGGUUAUUUUUAUUAUUACGACAUUAUCACAGCAUCAGAGCUGGUGAUGGAGAUUUUCUUCCAGUAGUUUUUUACUUGUAUUUUUUAAGAUUUCUCUUUGCAAAAUACAAAUAAAGAUUAUUUCAACCAAUUAC